ACGCUGGCGGCAGGCCUAACACAUGCAAGUCGAGCGGUAGCACGGGAGAGCUUGCUCUCUGGGUGACGAGCGGCGGACGGGUGAGUAAUGUCUGGGAAACUGCCUGAUGGAGGGGGAUAACUACUGGAAACGGUAGCUAAUACCGCAUGACCUCGCAAGAGCAAAGGGGGGGACCUUCGGGCCUCACGCCAUCGGAUGUGCCCAGAUGGGAUUAGCUAGUAGGUGGGGUAAUGGCUCACCUAGGCGACGAUCCCUAGCUGGUCUGAGAAGAUGACCAGCCACACUGGAACUGAGACACGGUCCAGACUCCUACGGGAGGCAGCAGUGGGGAAUAUUGCACAAUGGGCGCAAGCCUGAUGCAGCCAUGCCGCGUGUGUGGAGAAGGCCUUAGGGUUGUAAAGCACUUUCAGCGAGGAGGAAGGCGUUGUAGUUAAUAGCUGCAGCGAUUGACGUUACUCGCAGAAGAAGCACCGGCUAACUCCGUGCCAGCAGCCGCGGUAAUACGGAGGGUGCAGGCGUUAAUCGGAAUUACUGGGCGUAAGCGCACGCAGGCGGUUUGUUAAGUCAGAUGUGAAAUCCCCGAGCUUAACUUGGUAACUGCAUUUGG
rnacentral:rRNA from 1 species